rnacentral:rRNA from 14 species
UUAAUGACUCUCGGCAACGGAUAUCUCGGCUCUUGCAUCGAUGAAGAACGUAGCGAAAUGCGAUACUUGGUGUGAAUUGCAGAAUCCCGCGAACCAUCAAUUCUUUGAACGCAAGUUGCGCCCGAAGCCAUUCGGCCGAGGGCACGCCUGCCUGGGUGUCGUGA